UAAGUUGUGUUUCUGAAUGAUGUGACCGACAGGAAGCAUAUUUAGAGCAAACAAAAGAGGUCCCAAACUGGAACCCUGAGGAACACCAAAAGAGAUUUGUGCAUGAGAUGAGAAACAUGAACAGAAAAAGUUCUCCCCUUAAGGGGACCUAGCUCAAAUGUAUUCCAGCAUGACAAUGCCCCUGUGCACAAAGUGAGGUCCAUGAAGACAUGGUUUGUUAAAUUUGGAGUGAAAGAACUUGAGUUACCUGCACAGAGCCCUGACAUCAACCCCACCAUGAACUGGAACGCUGACUGCACACCAGACCUCCACGCCUGACAUCAUUACCUGAUCUCAAUAAUACUCUUGUGGCUGAAUGAGCAAAUCAGAAGAAGAGUAGAAUUGCCAUAUCUUGGGAAUAGGAUGUUUAACAAGUCAUAGGUGUCCACAUACUUUUGGCCAUGUGAGAAAGGGGGCACUGUUUCCAUGGUGAUAAGACUGAGGGACCACAUCUCCCCCCUCCCCCCCUCUAUCUGGAUUGGCUGUUGAGAUAGAGACCUCUGAAAGGCGCGACAUUUUUUUUUCCCAUCAUCCUUUGUUCCAUUCGAGGCAUACAGAGUGAGGUGCUCCAUGCCAGGAAGUCAUGGCUAGGAGAAAUGCAUGGCAUAUUUACUCUCUCCACUGCACUUCCUCUCAGCUGUGAUG
ensembl:lncRNA